rnacentral:lncRNA from 15 species
CUUAAUUAUUAUAUUUUUAUUAUAUAUUUAUAAUUUAUUAGAUAUUGUGAUAUCUUGAUGAAAUAUAGAAGGCCUACUGUAUGCACAUCUGUGUAUUGUAUUUUACUUUAUAGAAACUAAUCAAUCAGCGUUCAAAAGCAUACACUCUAUACAGCACAUUCUGAUGAUUUGGAGUUUGCUGUACUGACUUUGAUUGAUACAUAAUAUUGGUAGAACACGUUUGCUAAAUACUUAACAUGCACUAGCAUGGUUUUCUUUUUCUAUGUUCCUUAUUUGCGUCUAACACUGUUGUGUCUACACUGCACCGUCAAACCCAUCAAACAACCACAAAAACUGAAGGAGCUGGCCUCACCACUGAUUCUUUUUCUUUUUUCUCCUCUAUAAUAAAUAUCAACAGGAUGGCCCUUCUCAGCUACCCUGUUCCAGAGUUGGAUGUUACCUUGCAAGAAGUGAGCCGUGUCCUGCAGCUCACUUUAAGCCCUGACCUUUAUCCUGAGUUCAAAAGUACGCUGGAACAGCAGAGGGAGCUCCUUCAAGAGGCCCAGCAAAAAUUUGCAACCAUUGCUGCAGGCCAAGAGAACUGGGUGACAGAGCAGUUCAAGAGAGGUCUGCUGUCUUGUGUUGACCCUCUGCCCACCUCCACAGCCCUCCCUGUUGUUCAUCUUCCUUCCCAAUCAAAACGAUGUACCCAGUUGGGGAGGGCAGCCGCUCUACUCUGGGCAGCAGCAAAGCUGCACAGUGAGCCCUUGUUACUGGAGGGCAAUGUGGCAAUGGAGCGCACACAGCAGUCUGAGGUAUUCGCUGCCAGCCGGAUUCCUGGCAGGCAUCAAGAUGAGAUUAAGGUCUACCCAGAUAGCCUCCAUGCCAUCAUCACCUGUGUUGGAGGAGUGUUCCCUGUUGACAUACUGUGGCGUCCCAGCACUGGUGGGCCAGUUUCUGCUCGAUCAUUCAAUGACAUCUAUAAACAGCUGGCUCAGGUGAUGGAUCAACCCCGAGCAGGAAAACAGAAUGAUCCCUCUGCCAUUUGCAGCCUCUCAGCUCUGGAGCGCAAAACCUGGGCUGCCACCAGGGAAGAGAUCAUGGGGCAAGGAGGGGACACAGCGGCAUCACUGGGGCUGAUGGAGAGUGCUGUGCUGACGCUGUGUCUGGAGGAGUGCAAUGCACCCUCUGAACUGGCUGAUAUUCUCAAUGCAGUGAGAUUGGGAGGAGGAGGAGACAGUCCAUGUCUGAGAUACUAUGACAAGGUAUUGGAUAGAAUCUGCAUAAAGAUUUUAAACAAAGCUGUGAUCAGAUUUCACACCUCUUUAAUGCUCAUACUGUUAAACAUGGUUCACUUUUCAAUUAAAGCUACUUUUUGUUCUAUUUGUUCCAUCAGGCAAAACACACACAUUAUUACACAAUUCAUACAAGGGUUCAAUUACUAUAUUAUAUGACAAAAUAAUUCAGU